rnacentral:rRNA from 1 species
AGCGAACGCUGGCGGCAGGCCUAACACAUGCAAGUCGAACGGACCCUUCGGGGUUAGUGGCGGACGGGUGAGUAACACGUGGGAACGUGCCCUUUGGUUCGGAACAACUCAGGGAAACUUGAGCUAAUACCGAAUGUGCCCUUCGGGGGAAAGAUUUAUCGCCAUUGGAGCGGCCCGCGUCUGAUUAGCUAGUUGGUAGG